rfam:Schistosoma curassoni strain Dakar, Senegal genome assembly, scaffold: SCTD_scaffold0013273
AUCCAGCUGACGAGUCCCAAAUAGGACGAAACUGGAU